AUUGAACGCUGGCGGCAGGCCUAACACAUGCAAGUCGAGCGGAUGAAGGGAGCUUGCGCCUGGAUCCCGCGGCGGACGGGUGAGUAAUGCCUAGGAAUCUGCCUGGUAGUGGGGUAUAACGUCCGGAAACGGGCGCUGAUACCGCAUACGUCCUGAGGGAGAAAGUGGGGGAGCUUCGGACCUCACGCUAGCAGAUGAGCCUAGGUCGGAUUAGCUAGUUGGUGGGGUAAAGGCCUACUAAGGCGACGAUCCGUAACUGGUCUGAGAGGAUGAUAAGUCACAUUAGAGCUUGGACGCGGUCCAGACGCCUGCGGGAGGGAGCAGUGGCGAAUGUUGGGCAGCAGGCGAAAGCCUGAUCCAACCAUGCCGCGUGUGUGAAGAAGGUCUUCGGAUUGUAAAGCACUUUUAGUUGUGAGAAAGGGCAGUAAGUUGAGACCUUGCUGUUUUGACGUUACCAACAGAAUAAGCACCGGCUAACUUCGUG
rnacentral:rRNA from 1 species